AGUGAACGCUGGCGGCAGGCCUAACACAUGCAAGUCGAACGGCAGCACAGUAAGAGCUUGCUCUUACGGGUGGCGAGUGGCGGAUGGGUGAGGAAUACAUCGGAAUCUACUUUUUCGUGGGGGAUAACGUAGGGAAACUUACGCUAAUACCGCAUACGACCUACGGGUGAAAGCAGGGGAUCUUCGUACCUUGCGCGAUUGAAUGAGCCGAUGUCGGAUUAGCUAGUUGGCGGGGUAAAGGCCCACCAAGGCGACGAUCCGUAGCUGGUCUGAGAGGAUGAUCAGCCACACUGGAACUGAGACACGGUCCAGACUCCUACGGGAGGCAGCAGUGGGGAAUAUUGGACAAUGGGCGCAAGCCUGAUCCAGCCAUACCGCGUGGGUGAAGAAGGCCUUCGGGUUGUAAAGCCCUUUUGUUGGGAAAGAAAAGCAGCAGGUUAAUACCCCGCUGUUCUGACGGUACCCAAAGAAUAAGCACCGGCUAACUUCGUG
rnacentral:rRNA from 1 species